UCAAGUGAAGAAGCGCAUACGGUGGAUGCCUUGGCAGUCAGAGGCGAUGAAAGACGUGGUAGCCUGCGAAAAGCUUCGGGGAGUCGGCAAACAGACUGUGAUCCGGAGAUGUCUGAAUGGGGGAACCCAGCCAUCAUAAGAUGGUUAUCUUGUACUGAAUACAUAGGUGCAAGAGGCGAACCAGGGGAACUGAAACAUCUAAGUACCCUGAGGAAAAGAAAUCAACCGAGAUUCCCUUAGUAGUGGCGAGCGAACGGGGACCAGCCCUUAAGUUGUAUUGAGAUUAGCGGAACGUUCUGGAAAGGACGGCCAUAGUGGGUGAUAGCCCUGUACGCGAAAAUCCCUUUGCAAUGAAAUCGAGUAGGACGGGGCACGAGAAACCUUGUCUGAAUAUGGGGGGACCAUCCUCCAAGGCUAAAUACUACUGACUGACCGAUAGUGAACCAGUACCGUGAGGGAAAGGCGAAAAGAACCGCGGAGAGCGGAGUGAAAUAGAUCCUGAAACCGUAUGCGUACAAGCAGUGGGAGCCCACUUUGUUGGGUGACUGCGUACCUUUUGUAUAAUGGGUCAGCGACUUAUUUUCAGUGGCGAGCUUAACCGAAUAGGGGAGGCGUAGCGAAAGCGAGUCUUAAUAGGGCGUCUAGUCGCUGGGAAUAGACCCGAAACCGGGCGAUCUAUCCAUGGGCAGGUUGAAGGUUGGGUAACACUAACUGGAGGACCGAACCGACUACCGUUGAAAAGUUAGCGGAUGACCUGUGGAUCGGAGUGAAAGGCUAAUCAAGCUCGGAGAUAGCUGGUUCUCCUCGAAAGCUAUUUAGGUAGCGCCUCAUGUAUCACUGUAGGGGGUAGAGCACUGUUUCGGCUAGGGGGUCAUCCCGACUUACCAAACCGAUGCAAACUCCGAAUACCUACAAGUGCCGAGCAUGGGAGACACACGGCGGGUGCUAACGUCCGUCGUGAAAAGGGAAACAACCCAGACCGUCAGCUAAGGUCCCAAAGUCAUGGUUAAGUGGGAAACGAUGUGGGAAGGCUUAGACAGCUAGGAGGUUGGCUUAGAAGCAGCCACCCUUUAAAGAAAGCGUAAUAGCUCACUAGUCGAGUCGGCCUGCGCGGAAGAUGUAACGGGGCUCAAACCAUGCACCGAAGCUACGGGUAUCAUCUUAGGAUGAUGCGGUAGAGGAGCGUUCUGUAAGCCUGUGAAGGUGAGUUGAGAAGCUUGCUGGAGGUAUCAGAAGUGCGAAUGCUGACAUGAGUAACGACAAUGGGUGUGAAAAACACCCACGCCGAAAGACCAAGGUUUCCUGCGCAACGUUAAUCGACGCAGGGUUAGUCGGUCCCUAAGGCGAGGCUGAAAAGCGUAGUCGAUGGAAAACAGGUUAAUAUUCCUGUACUUCUGGUUAUUGCGAUGGAGGGACGGAGAAGGCUAGGCCAGCCUGGCGUUGGUUGUCCAGGUUUAAGGUGGUAGGCUGAGAUCUUAGGUAAAUCCGGGAUCUUAAGGCCGAGAGCUGAUGACGAGUGUUCUUUUAGAACACGAAGUGGUUGAUGCCAUGCUUCCAAGAAAAGCUUCUAAGCUUCAGGUAACCAGGAACCGUACCCCAAACCGACACAGGUGGUUGGGUAGAGAAUACCAAGGCGCUUGAGAGAACUCGGGUGAAGGAACUAGGCAAAAUGGCACCGUAACUUCGGGAGAAGGUGCGCCGGUGGAGGUGAAGCAUUUACUGCGUAAGCCCCUGCCGGUCGAAGAUACCAGGCCGCUGCGACUGUUUAUUAAAAACACAGCACUCUGCAAACACGAAAGUGGACGUAUAGGGUGUGACGCCUGCCCGGUGCCGGAAGGUUAAUUGAUGGGGUUAGCGCAAGCGAAGCUCUUGAUCGAAGCCCCGGUAAACGGCGGCCGUAACUAUAACGGUCCUAAGGUAGCGAAAUUCCUUGUCGGGUAAGUUCCGACCUGCACGAAUGGCGUAACGAUGGCGGCGCUGUCUCCACCCGAGACUCAGUGAAAUUGAAAUCGCUGUGAAGAUGCAGUGUAUCCGCGGCUAGACGGAAAGACCCCGUGAACCUUUACUAUAGCUUUGCACUGGACUUUGAAUUUGCUUGUGUAGGAUAGGUGGGAGGCUUUGAAGCGUGGACGCCAGUCUGCGUGGAGCCAACCUUGAAAUACCACCCUGGCAACUUUGAGGUUCUAACUCAGGUCCGUUAUCCGGAUCGAGGACAGUGUAUGGUGGGUAGUUUGACUGGGGCGGUCUCCUCCUAAAGAGUAACGGAGGAGUACGAAGGUGCGCUCAGACCGGUCGGAAAUCGGUCGUAGAGUAUAAAGGCAAAAGCGCGCUUGACUGCGAGACAGACACGUCGAGCAGGUACGAAAGUAGGUCUUAGUGAUCCGGUGGUUCUGUAUGGAAGGGCCAUCGCUCAACGGAUAAAAGGUACUCCGGGGAUAACAGGCUGAUACCGCCCAAGAGUUCAUAUCGACGGCGGUGUUUGGCACCUCGAUGUCGGCUCAUCACAUCCUGGGGCUGAAGCCGGUCCCAAGGGUAUGGCUGUUCGCCAUUUAAAGUGGUACGCGAGCUGGGUUUAGAACGUCGUGAGACAGUUCGGUCCCUAUCUGCCGUGGACGUUUGAGAUUUGAGAGGGGCUGCUCCUAGUACGAGAGGACCGGAGUGGACGAACCUCUGGUGUUCCGGUUGUCACGCCAGUGGCAUUGCCGGGUAGCUAUGUUCGGAAAAGAUAACCGCUGAAAGCAUCUAAGCGGGAAACUUGCCUCAAGAUGAGAUCUCACUGGAACCUUGAGUUCCCUGAAGGGCCGUCGAAGACUACGACGUUGAUAGGUUGGGUGUGUAAGCGCUGUGAGGCGUUGAGCUAACCAAUACUAAUUGCCCGUGAGGCUUGACCAU
rnacentral:rRNA from 1 species